GACAGAGGCCCCGAGCGUUAGGCGGAAUCACUGGGCUUAAAGCGCGUGUAGGCGGACCGUUAAGUACCUUGUGAAAUCCCACGGCUCAACCGUGGAACUGCUGGGUAUACUGGCGGUCUUGGGCCACUCAGGGGUUGCCGGAACAAGCGGUGGAGCGGUGAAAUGCGUAGAUAUCGGGAGGAACACCGGUGGCGAAGGCGGAUCUCUGGGCCAUUACUGACGCUGAGGAGCGAAAGCGUGGGGAGCGAACAGG
rnacentral:rRNA from 1 species